rnacentral:tRNA from 1 species
GCCCGCCUAGCUCAAUCGGAUAGAGCGUCAGACUCUUACCUAGGCGGUGAUCUGAAGGCUGCGAGUUCGACCCUCGCGGUGGGCU